rnacentral:miRNA from 1 species
CCCCGUGGAAGUCUGGAUAUUUUA